GACCACCAGUGGCGAAGGCUUCUCACCAGAACGGACCUGACGGCAAGGGACGAAAGCUAGGGGCGCGAACCGGAUUAGAUACCCGGGUAGUCCCAGCUGUAAACGGAUGCGACUUACAUGUAUGCCCUACGACAGGCAUCGGAUCGCUAGGAAUAGGCAUGGGAGC
rnacentral:rRNA from 1 species